CUUCAUCAAACACAUAUGUUCCCACCUUCUCUCUCCUCUUGUUGUCCAACAUUUGCAAUCUCGUGCCAACAUCUAGAUUAUACCAAUUAUGUCGUCUAGAAGUACCAAGUCUCCUUGGACUCAAAGCUCAUUCUCUUUUUGGCUAUAUUGAUCAUUUUCUUCCUUGUUCUCUAAAACAUCUACCAUCACCAACUGCUAAAGCUACUCCUACAAGUAGUCCAGAGCUUCACCAAUGGCUUUCUCAUGGCCAAGCUAAAUAAAUGCUACUUUGUCGUCCUCUUCCCUUGCCCAAGAUUUGUGGCUUUCUCAAGACAAACGGUACUUCUUCAACACUAGAUUCAACAUCCUUGACUUAAGAUCUGCACUUUAUACCAUUAAAAAAAAGUUAUUCUAAAACCAUCAAAUAAUAUACCUCUCGAAUUAAAGCACUCGUUGAUAAGCUUGAUGCUUGAUAGCGUGCAUAAAUACCCGUUAUUAUAGCUUCUUUUAUUAGAAUAAUGAGAUUAAAAUGCACAGAAGAUAAUCAGAACACAUAACUUGUGUUGUAAACGCAUAAGUACUUGGAAUUAUACUUUACACAAGUGUUAUGCCUGUUUUACGAGAUUUUAAUAUCUAAACGCAGAAUAUUGAAUAAGGAAAGAAACUAGUGAACCGUAUGAAACAUUUUGCGCAAGAACUACAACUAGAAACUCAUCGGACGAUUAACGUCUUCAGGCGAGGAACAAAGGUAUCAAGCGAAGAAGGGUCACUAGAAGACAAGAGCAGUAGUGGAGGUGAUGUGAUGUGUAACAAACACCUUUUGGUGGAUGUCACUCACAAGUUCAGAAGAUAGAAGUUUUCCUCCCAAUUGCUACCUAUAUAAAGUCGUCUUUGUCAACCUACAAAGAAGAUGUUUGAAUGGGUGCUAUGCCUAAAUAGGCCAAAACCCUAGAGAGUGGCGGAGAGGAAUAUUCUUUCCGCAGUCUGUAAACAUUUUCUUCUUCUUCUCCGAUUAGUUGUAAAAGCGAGAGCUUGACUUCUGAGUAGGGAAGAAUUCAUACUCCCAUUGUUUCCUAACUUGUAAUAGUUUUCUAUUCUCUCCACUUUUGUACUUCUUUGUAAUAUAUGUUGUUCAUAUUGUACAAUGGCCUAAGGUCUACAUUCUUUAUAUAUAUUACAUGUUUAUACC
rnacentral:lncRNA from 1 species